rnacentral:rRNA from 1 species
UGGGGAAUUUUGGACAAUGGGCGAAAGCCUGAUCCAGCAAUGCCGCGUGUGUGAAGAAGGCCUUCGGGUUGUAAAGCACUUUUGUCCGGAAAGAAAUCCUUGGCUCUAAUACAGUCGGGGGAUGACGGUACCGGAAGAAUAAGCACCGGCUAACUACGUGCCAGCAGCCGCGGUAAUACGUAGGGUGCAAGCGUUAAUCGGGAAUUACUGGGCGUAAAGCGUGCGCAGGCGGUUUGCUAAGACCGAUGUGAAAUCCCCGGGCUCAACCUGGGAACUGCAUUGGUGACUGGCAGGCUAGAGUAUGGCAGAGGGGGGUAGAAUUCCACGUGUAGCAGUGAAAUGCGUAGAGAUGUGGAGGAAUACCGAUGGCGAAGGCAGCCCCCUGGGCCAAUACUGACGCUCAUGCACGAAAGCGUGGGGAGCAAACAGGAUUAGAUACCCUGGUAGUCCACGCCCUAAACGAUGUCAACUAGUUGUUGGGGACUUCAUUUCCUUAGUAACGUAGCUAACGCGUGAAGUUGACCGCCU